AACGAACGCUGGCGGCAGGCCUAACACAUGCAAGUCGAGCGCCCCGCAAGGGGAGCGGCGGACGGGUGAGUAACACGUGGGAAUGUUCCUCAAGGUACGGAACAACUCAGGGAAACUUGGGGUAAUACCGCAUGAUGCAGACAUGCCAAAGAUUUAUCGCCUUGGGAUAAGCCCGCGUCAGAUUAGUUAGUUGGAGGGGUAACGGCCUACCAAGCCUGCGAUCUGUAGCUGGUCUGAGAGGACGAUCAGCCACACUGGGACUGACACACGGCCCAGACUCCUACGGGAGGCAGCAGUGGGGAAUCUUGCGCAAUGGGCGAAAGCCUGACGCAGCCAUGCCGCGUGAAUGAUGAAGGUCUUAGGAUUGUAAAGUUCUUUCGCUCGUGACGAUGAUGACGGUAACGAGAGAAGAAGCCCCGGCUAACUUCGUGCCAGCCGCCGCAGUAA
rnacentral:rRNA from 1 species